rnacentral:rRNA from 1 species
AAGGCCUUCGGUUGUAACCGCUUUGUCAGGAAGAAAGUUGGGGCGAAUAACCUCGGAUGAUGACGGUACCUGAAGAAUAAGCACCGGCUAACUACGUGC